rnacentral:lncRNA from 10 species
AGGGGAGGGGGAGAGGAGGGGAAAGCUAGACCUGCAGAGUGAAGAAAGCUGGUAAUAGAUGUCUGACAAACUAAAGAAAGACUUGUGUUACGAAAACCAGAAUCAUGGCAUUCUGAAGACAACAGAUGAUUUGACAAAACCUACAGAUGUUCCUCAUUUGGAAUCCCAUUGAGCCUGAUCUGCUUUUCAUUGCAUAUGCUCUGUUGCUAAAACUAUACAAGCACCUUCCCUCUAGGCCCAGGGACUAUUGUGCAAGAGGUGGUUGCAUGAGAUUACAAGGGCUGGUUUUGAGGGAUAUAAUUAGUUCAGAUCCUCUCAAUGAAGGAUGGGUACACAGAUGCCUAAACAGCUGGUAAAACAGGGACUUUGCCUUCUGAGCUGUUAUGUGGCACCUUUUAAUCCAUUCUAACCAUAAAUAAUUUGCUGAUUCCUGUAGAAUUAAAAACAAAUUAUUACUGAAAGAAUAUAAAGAUACCCAUGACAAAGCCUCCUGGGUACUCCCAGUUAUGAGAUUUAUGAAGAUAAUUAUAUAUUAAAAAUUUUUAU